rnacentral:tRNA from 1 species
CAAGGCGUAGCUUAAUAGCCAGAGCAUCUCGUUUACACUGGGAAAAUGCCCGUGCAAAUCGGGCCUCCUUGA